CAUCAGUCCAUCCAUGUUGCUUGAAGAAAGCCUGUGCACGGUUGUUUCCCCCAAAGCUCAUCAUUCUCAAUUGCUCAGGGCUCCAUGAAUCUAAAUUAGUAGACCGGACGAAACUGAUGUGAACUCCAAGGCUGCGAUGAACAGCAGAGCAGUCGAUGCAAAGGAAGAUCCCAUACGUCACUGACGCCCAUGUAGGGUUUUUGGCAUUGCAAUCGAAGCACAUCUUGUUAUCGGAUUUCGCUUUGAGCUUUCUGAACACAGCAUUUUUGUCGGUAAAGUUUUCAGACGCCAUUGAUCGUGGUCACACUUCUUAGUCACACAGAAAAGGGUUUCCGAAGAGGUGAGGUGAUUGGCUCUAGCACCUCCUCAGGGAGAACGAAACGCAGAGAGAGGCCGAGACCAAUAGAGAAAAGAGAGUAAAUGCAAAUUGGGAAAACAACGAAUGGGAUAUGG
rnacentral:misc_RNA from 1 species